CCUACGGAGUGCUGCAGUGGGGAAUAUUGGGCAAUGGGCGCAAGCCUGACCCAGCAACGCCGCGUGAAGGAAGAAGGCUUUCGGGUUGUAAACUUCUUUUCUGAGGGACGAAGAAAGUGACGGUACCUCAGGAAUAAGCCACGGCUAACUACGUGCCAGCAGCCGCGGUAAUACGUAGGUGGCAAGCGUUAUCCGGAUUUAUUGGGUGUAAAGGGCGUGUAGGCGGGAAAGCAAGGUAGAUGUGAAAACUCAGGGCUCAACCCUGAGCCUGCAUUUGAAACGGUUUUUGUUGAGUGCUGGAGAGGCAAUGGGAAUGCCGUGGGGAGCGGUGAAAUGCGUAGAUAUACGGAGGAACACCAGUGGCGAAGGCGGAUUGCUGGACAGUAACUGACGCUGAGGCGCGAAAGCGUGGGGAGCAAACAGGAUUAGAUACCCCAGUAGUC
rnacentral:rRNA from 1 species